UGGGGAAUAUUGGACAAUGGGCGCAAGCCUGAUCCAGCCAUGCCGCGUGAGUGAUGAAGGCCCUAGGGUUGUAAAGCUCUUUCACCGGUGAAGAUAAUGACGGUAACCGGAGAAGAAGCCCCGGCUAACUUCGUUCCAGCAGCCGCGGUAAUACGAAGGGGGCUAGCGUUGUUCGGAUUUACUGGGCGUAAAGCGCACGUAGGCGGAAUAUUAAGUCAGGGGUGAAAUCCCGGGGCUCAACCCCGGAACUGCCUUUGAUACUGGUAGUCUUGAGUUCGAGAGAGGUGAGUGGAAUUCCGAGUGUAGAGGUGAAAUUCGUAGAUAUUCGGAGGAACACCAGUGGCGAAGGCGGCUCACUGGCUCGAUACUGACGCUGAGGUGCGAAAGCGUGGGGAGCAAACAGG
rnacentral:rRNA from 1 species